rnacentral:misc_RNA from 1 species
AGAGAGAGAGAGAGAGAGAAUGGAAUUGAAAUUAGAGGGAAACUUGGGUGAGUAUUAGUGUAAUUUGCUCUUAAUUAUGAUUUCUGAUGCAAUGAAGACAAUUUUUGAGAUGAGGGUGUGCUUAUGCCAUUGUUAGCAGAGGACUCGCUUGGGUCUAACAUGUUGAUAAGGUAUUGGAGGACACAUUUUUGUAUGGAAACAUUUGCCUUCACAAGCAUGGAAGUAAUGAGCAAUCAUCAUUUUCUUUAGUAGCAUGAUUUAUUUUGUUGGUCUAGCUUUGAUGGGUUUCAAACAAUUUUGGAGACUAUUUCUGUAUUAUUGAGCCAAAGUUUAUUGAUAGCAACAAUGAUUUUGAUCCUUCCAUUCAAUUUCACUUGCCAUGGCGGAUGAAAAUAUUGGUCAUGUCCUGUUAUUUAUUUGUUGUUU